CAUUAAUGAUUGAACGUCUGUCGAGCUUGCUCACAGGCACAUCAUAUCCAUAACACCUGUGCACUUGUCGGAUGGCUUAGUGAAGACCGCAAGGUUGGAUCUAUCCAUCUACUUUACAUAACAAUUCUGUAACAAAUGUAGUCUUAUUAUAACAUAAUAAAACUUUCAACAACGGAUCUCUUGGCUCUCGCAUCGAUGAAGAACGCAGCGAAAUGCGAUAAGUAAUGUGAAUUGCAGAAUUCAGUGAAUCAUCGAAUCUUUGAACGCACCUUGCGCUCCUUGGUAUUCCGAGGAGCAUGCCUGUUUGAGUGUCAUGAAAACCCUCAACCCUAGAUUGGUUAAAACCUUUCUUUGGUUUGGAUUUGGACGUUUGCCGAUGAUAAGUCGGCUCGUCUUAAAAGUAAUAGCUGGAUCUGUCUCGCGACAUGGUUUGACUUGGCGUAAUAAGUAUUUCGCUAAGGACAUCUUCGGAUGGCCGCGUUGCAGGACUAAAGACCGCUUUCUAAUCCAUUGAUCUUACGAUUAAUAUUCUUGACAUCUGGCCUCAAAUCAGGUAGGACUACCC
rnacentral:misc_RNA from 1 species